CCUCCGCCUCGAAGCAACGACUCACGGAGAUCAAAUCCGUAACAUCCACUCCUCCUCCUCCUUCUAG